GGAAAAGAGAAAGUGAACGAAGAUAUCGAUUAAAUUCGAUAAAUAGUGGCUAGGUACGAAAGUAUAAGGACUCAGCAUACAAGCCGAUCCCCAAACUCAAAUUGGUGAAGUUUCUAUCUUUUUGGAAAAUGGCAUUGUACCUAGGAUGUCUUUUGGUUAUUUUGAAAGUAUCUAAGUUGUUAAAUGAUAUUUUGGUAUGUUUUGUAAAUGUUACCAAAACCUUAAGUAUGGUAUGUUUUGAUAUGUUAGUGAAGAGUAAUAAGAGGAAUUGUUGGUAAA